ACGGGUGAGGAAUACAUCGGAAUCUGCCUUGUUGUGGGGGAUAACGUAGGGAAACUUACGCUAAUACCGCAUAAGACCGAAAGGUGAAAGUGGGGGACCGCAAGGCCUCACGCGACAAGAUGAGCCGAUGUCGGAUUAGCUAGCUGGUGAGGUAAAGGCUCACCAAGGCGACGAUCCGUAGCUGGUCUGAGAGGAUGAUCAGCCACACUGGAACUGAGACACGGUCCAGACUCCUACGGGAGGCAGCAGUGGGGAAUAUUGGACAAUGGGCGCAAGCCUGAUCCAGCCAUGCCGCGUGUGUGAAGAAGGCUUUCGGGUUGUAAAGCACUUUUGUUGGGGAAGAAAUCGUACGGGUGAAUAUCCCGUGCGGAUGACGGUACCCAAAGAAUAAGCACCGGCUAACUUCGUGCCAGCAGCCGCGGUAAUACGAAGGGUGCAAGCGUUACUCGGAAUUACUGGGCGUAAAGCGUGCGUAGGCGGUUUGUUAAGUCUGUCGUGAAAGCCCUGGGCUCAACCUGGGAAUGGCGAUGGAUACUGGCAAGCUAGAGUACGGUAGAGGAUGGUGGAAUUCCCGGUGUAGCGGUG
rnacentral:rRNA from 1 species